rnacentral:rRNA from 1 species
GACGAACGCUGGCGGCGUGCUUAACACAUGCAAGUCGAGCGGUAAGGCCCUUUCGGGGGUACACGAGCGGCGAACGGGUGAGUAACACGUGGGUGACCUGCCCUCAGCUCUGGGAUAAGCCUGGGAAACCGGGUCUAAUACCGGAUAUGACUCCAUGACGCAUGUUGUGGGGUGGAAAGCCUUGUGCGGCCGAGGAUGGGCCCGCGGCCUAUCAGCUUGUUGGUGGGGUGAUGGCCACCAAGGCGACGACGGGUAGCCGGCCUGAGAGGGCGACCGGCCACACUGGGACUGAGACACGGCCCAGACUCCUACGGGAGGCAGCAGUGGGGAAUCUUGCGCAAUGGGCGAAAGCCUGACGCAGCGACGCCGCGUGAGGGAUGACGGCCU